CACCAGCCGCCUCCAGCCUUCAAAAGCACGAGAGCGGCGUGGCGCUGCCCGGGAGCGGCAUGGCGGCGGGGCCGGAGACCGGCGGGGAGUGCGGGAUCUGCUAUGAGGCGUACCGGGGCGUCUGGGCGCCCCAACAGCUGCCCUGCAGCCACUCCCUCUGCCAGAACUGCCUACGCAAGCUGGUGUGCCGCGCCGCCACCGUUGCCUUCAUCAGCUGCCCCUUCUGCAGGAUGGUGACGCUGGUGCCCGAGAUGGUCCCAGCUCACAGCCGGGGAGGAGGAGGAAGAUGAUGAAGACAGCGGUGCCCGUCGGGCCUCGAGGCAGUCCAUGACCAUGGAGGCGGCCUGCGCAGCCCACGCUCCCAUCUUUACGGGUCAGAAGUUAACAGGGAGGAAGACUGCGAGCCUUCGCGAGGAAGAUGAGGAUUCUUCAGCCCACGGCCGCCAGGAGGAGACCCUCACCACUCACUGCGCACGCGCAAGGGGAGGCCGCGUGCUGAUGGGUUCGGAAAGGAAUGAAUGUGAUCUGAAUUCCUGGGAACUGCUGAUCACGUAUUACUUCGGCCUCUACCUGGAGCACGCUUUUUCCUGACGCUGUGCGACUCAGGAGCAGCUCUCCCCCUUGCACCUGGCGUCGCAGCCCUGAUUAAAUGUACCUGCUUUUGUAAUA